CGGCGUGCUUCAUACAUGCAAGUCGAACGAGAAGUCUGACUUCGGUCAGAGGAAAGUGGCGGACGGGUGAGUAAAAAUGUAGAGAAUCUGCCCUUAAGCGGGGGACAACAGUUGGAAACGACUGCUAAUACCCCAUAUGCGCGUAGCUGAGAUGCUAUUCGUGAAAACUCCGGUGCUUAAGGAUGAGUCUGCAUCUGAUUAGCUAGUAGGCGGUGUAAUGGACCACCUAGGCGACGAUCAGUAGCUGGUUUGAGAGGAUGAUCAGCCACAAUGGGACUGAGACACGGCCCAUACUCCUACGGGAGGCAGCAGUAGGGAAUUUUGCGCAAUGGGGGAAACCCUGACGCAGCAACGCCGCGUGAUUGAAGAAGCCCUUCGGGGUGUAAAGAUCUGUCAGUGGGGACGAAACUUGACGGUACCCACAGAGGAAGCAUCGGCUAACUCCGUGCCAGCAGCGGC
rnacentral:rRNA from 1 species